GUCACUUCCGGCUCUGAGCUCCGCUUCCUCAUCUGUUUGGCGCGCAUAAAAUAAUGCGCGGGUCUCGGUUUCCAGUGUGCUAACAGGCUGGGGAGCCCGUACCCAGUAGGCCUGUCGCGAGUGGACGCCCGUGCUCGGAAGUGGCUCAGUGUGUCGUGGGAUCAUGCGAGAAAGGUUCUCUGAAAGCUCCAACUGGGGACGCAGGUGCAGGUGCGUCUGCCUUGUUUGUGCAGGAAACCCUGGUGACAGCGCUGUGAAGUGAUGAUGUCCCUUGGCAGGUUUGUCCCUCAGGAAGCUCACGUGCAGCACUUGGGAAGAAUGGGUUCAACCCAGGCCCACUGCUGGGUAACCAGUGCCCGGGCCUCCCAGGGCCUCACCGCUCACACUCCAUUCAGCAGACCCAGGACGUCAGAGAGCCAGAAGAACUGGGCUGAAGGCAGGGAGUUUGGCUCGGCCUUUCCUGAGCUGCACCGCUGGCCGGACUCUGCUGGAGCAGCUUCACCCGAGCCUCCACUCUCUCUGCAGGCCCUGCUCUGGCUCCUGCGCCUUCCUCGAAGAGCAGGGCGCAUCUCCCCGGGAACCUGGCCUCAGGGGCUCCAGGGACCCCAGCUGCAGCGGGGCAGCCCCACCCCAGGCAGCCCCUCCAUCCUGUCUUCCUUCGCUCUUUGCCUUGAGCGUGGCUCUCCAGGGUGUGAGGCGCCUGGUGGCUCUGGCAGCCGACGUGGUCCUCACAUGGGUCCCGACUCCAAAUGCAAGCAUCUUUGUCAUCGCUUCCUUUCCCCCGUUUCCUGGGAAUUCAGCACGUUUCAGGACACAGCCUACACUUUCUGCAACAAGACUGCCCUUGCCUGCUUGACUCUCCUCGCCGUUCCCAGGCGACUUUGGAUCUACAAGUGUGAUGGAAGAAUACAGUGAAUGAGUAAAUAAAAAUCUCUUACAGUAAAGGACUCAUUCAUCAUCCCCUCCCUUGUCCUGCUCACUUCAGUACACACAUCCCAUUCUUUUCGCCCUUGUCUGAAACAAUUUGCAGCUUAUAUUUAUGGAGAUUUCUGUCAAAUCAAAAUAUUAGGCUGUGUCUUUAUCCACACCAGAUCUGCCACCACGUGACUUCCAGCUCUCAAAAUGACCAUGGCAGUGCACGUUUUGAGUGGAUUCAGGACAUCGAGGCAGCCACGAUAGCACAACUAAAGACACUCUUGAAAGAAGGCUCGCGGAACUGCUCCAGAAAGUGGCAAGAAUGAUGGGAUAAGUGCGUUCGCUGGGAGAGGGAGUAUUUUAAGGACGAUUCAUGGGACAGGGUCUUCUACUGUAAUAAUUGAAAGAAUUGAAGCAUUCACCUCUUUUUUUUUAAUCAUUCUGCCUACCGUAGUCAUUGCAUGCACGGCUGCGUAUUAGGAAGUUUCUGUGUACGGCCACGCUCCUCCUCACUCACCGCUGGAAUGAGAUUGUAAGCUCUUUGAGAGCAGGGAACAUUCCUUACUCAUAUUUAUCAUCCCGAGGCUUUGGGUCUCGGAGGGACUUCUGAAGCCAGGUCAGAUCUUGCCCUCUAGCAGCUCUGUGGCCUGGGAAGGAGAGGGGAAGAGACCACAGUGGCGACACAGUCACGGGAGGAAUACUGGGAAUGAGCCACCCCUGCCUGAUGCAUGGAUUUGAAACCAACCCUUAGGGGAGAAUUUUAUCGUUGGUGCCUUUGACUUUGCUUUGUUUGGCUUAUUUAUCUUUUCCUUUUUUGUUUUGUACCGGGGAUCAAACUCAGGACCUUGCACUUGCGAGGCAGGCACGGUGCCGCAGAGCUAAAUCCCUGGCCCAUUUUUUCCUUUUGAUGAAUUCUAUCUUCUCUGAUUUGCAGUGAGAUUUUGGGACAAUAAGCUUUCUUAGUAUUGAGCCUCAGUUUCUUCAAUUA